ensembl:lncRNA
AUUGUGAUUCUGUGUGAGGCACAAAUACUAGGAGACUGGGAAAUAGUUGACACCACUUUUCCCAAGGAUGAAGAUCACCUGAAGUGUGUCACUUUGCCAUGCAGAUUUGAUGCUCUGCAGAGAAGCCUUCUGUGAGGGAGAGAUGUAAACAGACGAGCCUUUUAUCUACAUUUAACUCAUGUCAACUUCUCUAGGCUGGUUGAGGGGGAAUUGGAGAGAAACGGUAGUGUUAGUAUUAGUGACAUGUGGGUGUUGUUGUGUGCCUUGUAUCAGAGCCUUGUUCGUAAGACUCAUCAAUCGUGCUGUGGGAGAAUCUGAUACAAAGGCAGACACCAUGAUGCCACUUUUGGGAAAUGGGGAGUCACAGUAUGAAAACAUUAUGGUGAGCGAUUUAGUUUAGUUUUAUCUGCCAUAGGGCAGAUAAAAA